rnacentral:rRNA from 1 species
AUGGCCAUGGAGGAGGAGGAGAUAUCUGGGAAGGAGUUGUUGAGGCCGGACAACUCUCUUGCGGAGGAGGAGGCGGCGGCGGCGGCCAGUCGACUCACCGACGACCUCAUCGUAGAGAUCCUGUCCCGGCUCCCCUUCAGGUCCGUCUGCCGUUUCAAGUGCGUCUCUAAGCCCUGGCGCGACCUCAUCGCCCACCCCGCCCACCGCAAGAAGCUGCCCCAGACCCUCGCCGGCGUCCUCUACACCAACAUUACCGGUGCCGGCGGCUAUCGCUACCACCUGGCCGGCCUCUCGGCCGAGGCCGACGGUCUUGAUCUCGACCCUUCACUCACGUUCCUGCCACAUACGGAGUACAGGGACUUCGGGCUGGUGCGCGCCUGCAAUGGCCUCCUCCUCUGCUCCUACGAACCGGAGGAGGGAACCGUCCGUUUCGUCGUCUGCAAUCCCGCCACCCAGAGGUGGACGGAGCUGCCCCCUCGCCCGCGGCCAAACACAUGCCGCUAUUACCAGCAGUUCCAUCUGGCUUUCGACCCAGCAGUCCCAUCCCAUUUCCACGUUUUUGAUUUCGAGCGCACCGACAACUUGAGCAUCACAGGAGUGAGCAUCUACUCGUCCAGAACCGGGGCCUGGUGCCAGAGUGAUACUGGAUUGGUUGAGGAUGUUGUAAUGGUAGGUCAAAGUGUCCUGGUUGGAGGUAUGCUGCACGUUGUGGGCAACCUGCUUGUGGCUGCAGACAGCAACAAUUGGGAAGACCAGACUGUGUUGGUGGCCUUGGACAUGGAGGGCAAGGAGUGGAAGACAAUCUCCGUGCCACGCGGCCGGGAUUAUGGUAUAGUUGGGUGGUCACAGGGGUGCCUGCACUAUGCUGCUAUAUCUCCAGCUCCUCUCACUGUCGGUGUUGACGACGAUGAGGGUUCACUCAACAUGGCUGAAGAGGUAGCUAUCUGGUGCCUUGAGGAUUAUGAUAAACAGCAAUGGGCCCUGAAGCAUAGUUUCAGAAUCGAUAAGGUGCUGAACCUAAAUGAGGUGGACUACCGGCUGGUUGGGUUCCAUCCCGAUCACGACACCUUCUUCUUUGUCAGCAAGGGUAUUUGGGAGGGCGAAAAGGCUUCAUUGGUGUCGUGGGACAUGCGGCGUCGCCAACUCUCUUGUGUUCUCCAUCUCGAGAAAAGCAGUGUAGCGCCGUAUCUGCCUUAUGUUCCUCUCUUCUCAUCGGAGCCACUACCAGAUGCAGAUGGGCACUAA